rnacentral:other from 1 species
CGUUCUCUGCCGUGUCCGACUGCGUACGCUUUCAUUUGCCUUGACCCUAAUUAACGACCCAGGGACUGCGAACCCGACGGGAGUGCAAGUCCGCCACGAGCGGGAAGCCCGAAGCCGGUCUAGCCUUCCCACCUGAUCCUCGGGAUCAAGGUCGUCAGCGUGCACACCGGCGCGGCGGAGGGCGU